UCCGUAGGGUGCGAGCGUUGUCCGGAAUUACUGGGCGUAAAGAGCUCGUAGGUGGUUUGUCGCGUUGUUCGUGAAAACUCACAACUCAAUUGUGGGCGUGCGGGCGAUACGGGCAGACUGGAGUACUGCAGGGGAGACUGGAAUUCCUGGUGUAGCGGUGGAAUGCGCAGAUAUCAGGAGGAACACCGGUGGCGAAGGCGGGUCUCUGGGCAGUAACUGACGCUGAGGAGCGAAAGCGUGGGGAGCGAACAGG
rnacentral:rRNA from 1 species